rnacentral:lncRNA from 1 species
UGGAUCAAGGGUUUGCUUAUUGAUUGUGAAAGAGUGAUCACUCCUAAUGCCUAAGGAUAGCUAGCAAGCAAUAAUAAAGAAAGCAAGUAAAACAUACAUCGGAAAGGGGAGGGGGUACAUGCAAAGUACAAGGGAGUGCAGCAAAUAAAAAGUCUCAUUGUCAGGUACCCCAAGAGAAAGCCUUGUGUAUGCAAUUGUGUCCUAAACUAGAAAGCACAUAAAUGAUUACAAUUUCUUGAGUCUUGAAUGUUGCUUCCAUGUUCGGCUCAAAUAAUAGUCCAAAGUCUUUUGCAAGGAUCCUAAUGAGAAGUCCCUAAGUCCAUUAUCCAAAGUUAUUUCCAUGCAUGGGAAUUAUCUUCUUUUUGUAUUUUUUAAGUCUUUACCAUUUUUAGGUUCAUUUUAAGAUGAGAUGUACAAUAUGGAAUAUAAAGCAAAAUAAAGCAAAGUAAGUAAAUGACAAAAAUUAAAUGUUAGAAGUUAAGUACAGAAAAGUAAAGAGUUAGAAGCGGAAAUAAAAAAAUUAGAUGUUAGAAUGCGGAAAUAAAAGGAAUUAGAUGUUAAUUGUUAGAUGUUAGAUCAAAGUAGAAUAAUAUUCAAGAAAAAAAUUAUCCAACUAUCAAUUCUAAAAUAUUAACAAAAUAAAAUCCAAAACAAUAGUAUAUGGCUUAGUUUUGUUAAUGAAGAGAAAGUCAAGAUAUUAUAUGAUACAGUUCUCUAAAGUCUCAUAUGGCUUAGUUUUGUGAGAAAAAGGAGUACAAGACUAUAUAGGAUUCAAGUUCUUCAUUCCAAGAUGCACCAGUCAAAAACACUUUAAGCUUGUAUUUGACUUUCCUAUUAUCAUGUACUCUUGUAUUAGAGUGUUGUGAGAUGUGGUUAAAUAUUAUUUUUUUCCAACAAUGUUCAAGACAUUGCCAACCUAUCAAUCUACAAGAAAUAUAUGGAUCUGCGUGAAACUCUCACACUAGUUAAUCAAAAUACGAACGACACAAAUAUAUAUCUUGGAUGCUACGUUGAGAAUGAAAACAUUUACAAUAAAAACAUUAAGAUUAAAAAAGUGAAACUUAAGAAGUGUGGAAACUGUUGAAAAAGAAUUACAAAUGUGAGUAGUGUGAGGAAGUCCCACAUUGUGUUAGAAAUGGAGAGACUUGAGCUUUAUAAGUGGGAGACUCACAAACAUAUCACCUUAAGGUUUUGGUGAAUAUGGUGUGUAUCUCUCACAAGGUGUGUUGCUCUUAAAAAUAAAAGCUCCAAAGUCAAAAUGCUCCCUCGUAUUGACCCCCCCCCGAAUAAGCCCAACAGAGUAUCAUGAUCUUUGGUUCGAGUGAACGAUCGACUUACUUGUAUCGAAAUUCUAGUAGGUAGAGGCGGCCCGUUUGAAAAGUGUCAACGACGAUACAAGUGUAUGUGGAUAAAAAGAAUUUCACUUGAAGAGAUCACUAUGGAUAAACUUGCACUUAGGGGAAGUGUUGAAAAAGAAUUACAAGUGCGAGUCGUGUGGGAAAGUCCCACAUUGAUUAGACAUGUGGAGACUUGAGAAUUUAUAAGUGAGAGAAUCCACACACAUAUACACUUAAAUUUUAGGUGAAUGUGUGGUGUGUUCCUCACAUUGUGUGUCGCUCUUUAAAGAAAAAGUUCCAAAUAAAAAUUGCUCCCUUGUAUUGACUCUUCCGAUAGUCCAAACAAAAAUAUCUCUAUAAUGUAUUGUAGUGUAAAAAAAUCUUAAUUCAAGAUUAAUAUUUCUUAUAUAAUAUCUUAUAUGAUAAAUUUUCUUAACGUUAUAUAAAUGCUUCUGAAUUUUCCAACAAAUAUAUAUUUAUAAUAUUAAUGAGAAUAAUAGAAAAUAAAGAAAAUUAUAUAUAUUAGUUAUUAGCUUUUUAUUUAUAAACAAUGUUUUUUAGGAUCGGUAAAUAGUUUUUCAUCAAUAAUAAAUCUUAUUUAACAAUAUCUUUUUUUAUAAAUUUGAUUUAAGUAUAAUUUCGAUCUUCCAUUUUACUAUAUUUUAAAAUAAAUUUCAGUCCUUUAAUUAUUAAAUGUUUUCCAUGUUUCCUAUUUAUAAUAUGGAUUGAUUUUCGAUAAUAUGGUAAGUGAGAUACUAAUAUGACAUUAAAUUGAUGAAAAGAAAAUGAGUAUUCAAGUGAUAAUCCAGCUAGUAUUCAAGUGAGCAAAAUCCAGCUAGACACCAUUACUUAUGAGACACUAUCUGUCUUCGUACAACAACCUAACCUACGGUCCAAAGACGCGCGUGAGAGAGAUGCUACGACAUCAAUACACUAUCUUUAUUUCUAGUACUAGUAACACACGUGUUUGUCUAAGAAGCUUUUAUUUGAUCUUUUGACCUUACGUGGCUACCGAACAACCGUCUCCAACGGUUUUCACGUAGUCUAUAUCCGGAUGGACCCACCUCUUAAAUUCGAUACAAUCUCAAUCGUUGAUUUAUUAAUUCAUAUAAUCAUCCUCACAUGUUUAUUAGCUCUGUGCAUUGGUUUGUAGUCCUAUUUCUCUGUGCAUGGAUUCUCAACUGUUUUCACCCUGAUUGAUUAGUUGAUCAAAAGGUUGCUCAAUCCCCCUGUCUAUUCAAGUGAUCAAAAGGAUCUUGAUCACUUGAUAAGAUCAUUUCCAUGUAAUGGAUGCACUAGAUAUCAAGAUAUCAACAAGUUCAGACUUCACAUUCAAGUAAAUACAAGUCAACAUUACAGACAGACUAGAUUACUAUUCAAGCACUACAAAGGUUCUUCUUCAACAUACUUACAAUUAUGAUACGAAUUGGUACCACAAGCUUUAAGCAAUGAAGAAUGAUGAGAUAGAUUUUCCAAUCCUGUUUAGACUACCUUUGAGUACGGGGCGUAUGCCCUAGCUACUCAAAGUAUUUCUCCAUUCAUAGACUUUAGUGCGAUUCAAGUCUAACAAUUGUUAAGUACUCUUCCACACAGAUGUUGCAUGCAGAUUGGAGAUCAAGAUCUCAACCUCUAGGGUUUCUCUUUUCCUUUUCUUCUAUUUCCCUUUAAGACUAAUACCAUUUCAUGGAUAAACUCAAAACACUUUGAAAUACGAUUAGAAUGUGCGCCACGAGCUUAAGCAAUGAAGAUGAUGACAUGGGUCAUUCAUAUCCUUGUCUAGUGUACCUUUGAGUACGGGGAUAGGCCCUAGAUACUUAAAUUAUUCGCCUUGUUCAUAGACUUUAGUAUAAAUCUAAUAAAAAAAAAUUUAUUUCAAGAAUAAAGAAACUCAACUCGUCAAAUUCAUUUUUGCUUUGGGCACCAUCUUCUUUUCAAACCUUUCAGAAAGUAUAUGUUACUUCCGUUCUACCAUGAACAAAGCUUAGUCUCCCAUGCAUGAGCAUACAAGUAGUGUUUAAUUGCUAGAGUGUGAUCCAAGCACAUCCAUUCUAUCGCAAACAACAAACUCUUAAGUCUCCCAUGCUCGAGUAUACAAAGCAUUGAUGUUUGUUAAAACGCGAACGUUAACAUUGUUCAUUAAAAACAACUAAUACAUUUGUAUUUCUACCAUGAACUACAGAGUUCUGACUUCCUAUUGCAUGAAAGAGCGGGGGAAUUGUAUGGUUCAUAAAAACUUGGUUUUCAAAACUUGUCAGUUAUGAUAAGAGUUUAAAUCAUAUUGAAAAUUGUUUUAAAUGCUAAGGAGCAGAAAAUAAAUUGCAGAAUGUAAAGUGCGAAAAAUAAAGAGUUAGGGAAAGAGAGGAACUCCAAGAGUUAUACAGGUUCAGUCCAAGAAACGACUUAGUCCUGUCCCCAAGAAUUGAUCUUAGAGUAUCCAAUAAAUUUUUAGAGGUUUUAGUAAGUAAUACUCAUGAACCCCAUUAUACAAGGAAAAUUGGUUAACUUCUGUCGCUACGCCGAAAAUACAGAGUCGCCAUCGAUUUUAUUUAUUCCAAAGGAAGGGAAAAUAUCGAGAUAACCACAGAAUGGUCAUCGCAACCACGAACAGGUUCGAAAGUCGGUUAUGCAAGGGGAAGUAUUAGCACCCCUCACAUCCAUGGUACUCCAUGGGAACCAUCUAGGAUGUUUGCGCUUGAGUGGAUGUUGUUUAUCAAAGUUUGCUUGCCAAAGGUUGCGGAGUAGAGGUAGAUUUUAAAUUAGUGUGCUCGCCAAGGAUUGGGUCCUCGUGCUACGUAUGCCACUUGUUGAAGUGAGAAAUCAAGCCCCUUAGAUCGUGGGUUUAAAAAGUGUUGUUUGUUUUGUUGAUUUUAUUACCUUGAAGAAGGGUUUUAACGCAUCGCUUAAGGCUCAAACAAAAGGUUUAAAUGCGAUGGAUUGUUUUUAGGUUUGAGAAAGGUGUUAUUGAUUCGGAUUGCACUAAAGACUAUGGAUAAAGGCGAAUACUCGAACUACCGAGUCAAACGUCUUGUGUUUGAAGUAUUCAGAACGAGUGUAGGAAAGCUCCAUUCUCAUCCUUUCUUUACCAUUUAGGCUUGUGGCAUACAAUCCUAAUCGCCAUUUAUGUGUUUUGAGUUUGAUUUGAGAAAGACCGCUGACGUUGGAUCAAGGGUUUGUUUAUUGUUUUUAUUUAAAAAGGACCGUUUUGACGUUGGAUCAAGGGUGCUUAUUGAUUGUGAAGAUGAUCACUCCUAAUGCCUAAGGAUAGCUAGCAAGCAAUAAUAAAGAAAGCAAGUAAAACAUACAUCGGAAAGGGGAGGGGGUACAUGCAAAGUACAAGGGAGUGCAGCAAAUAAAAAGUCUCAUUGUCAGGUACCCCAAGAGAAAGCCUUGUGUAUGCAAUUGUGUCCUAACUAGAAAGCACAUAAAUGAUUACAAUUUCUUUGAGUCUUGAAUGUUGCUCCAUGUUCGCUCAAAUAAUAGUCAAAGUCUUUUGCAAGGAUCCUUAUGAGAAGUCCUAAGUCCAUUAUCCAAAGUUAUUUCCAUGCAUGGGAAUUAUCUUCUUUUUGUAUUUUUUAAGUCUUUACCAUUUUAGGUUCAUUUUAAGAUGAGAUGUACAAUAGGAAUAUAAAGCAAAUAAGAAAGUAAGUAAUGACAAAAUUAAAUGUUAGAAGUAAGUUAAGACAAGUAAGAGUUAGAAGCGGAAUAAAAAUUACGAUGUUAGAUUCUGGGAAAUAAAAGGAAUUAGAUGUUAAUUGUUAGAUGUUAGAUCAAAGUAGAAUAAUAUUCAAGAAAAAAAUUAUCCAACUAUCAAUUCUAAAAUAUUAACAAAAUAAAAUCCAAAACAAUUAACCAACCAAUGAAGAUCUCACAAAUCAUUACCAGAUUAAAGUCAAAAACAACAAACGAAGAUUAGUAUCCAAAAUUAACAAUCAAUUAAUAUCUAAAAUUAUUAACCAAAAAAAAAUCCAAAAUUCACAAUCAAAUAAUAUCUUAAACAAUUAACUAACAAUUCUAAAAUCAUUAACGAAAUUAAAUUCUAAACAAUUAUCCUAAUUAAAUUCCAACAUCAUUACCAAAAUUAUUCUAAAGUUAAUAUCAACUAAAUCAAGAACAAAUCAAUAUUCUAAACUAUUCCUAGUUAAUAUUCUAAAUAAUCACUAAUUAAUUCUAAUACAAAUCCUAAAAAUAUUAAUCAAAACACAAUUAGAAUGUUAAUCAAAAUUAGAAUCUAACCAAUUGUCCAAAACAUCAUGGGCCUAGAACAGUUUCCAGCCCAAUCAGGGAGAGUGUAUGGACAAUGGAGGGAGUAUGUACAGGAGCCAGAAAAUGAUUGGGAUGGAUGAGGCCUAAGGCCUAACACGGACAUGGAAUAAUAGGAUGAAACUUCAUCCUUCAUCCUCUUCGCUCGCACGACGCAGCAACAAAGGGACAAGAAGAGAGGAAAACCAGGUCGCGCCAGACCUAGUCGUGCCGGCGACGGUGCUUACUCAAGAUGAAGCUCCAUGCAUCCUCUCCCCUUCCGCUCCCUCGACCUAACGAAAUCGAAACAAGUCUCAACCUAAUACAUCCAAGCUACGGCGACGCGACUCUUACCGGCGACAGAAGAGAAAGAUCAGAAGCUUCGGUACUCAAUGCACAAUCCAAUGAUU